rnacentral:rRNA from 1 species
GACGAACCAUGCGAACGUUAUUCGGAAUCACUGGGCUUAAAGCGCGUGUAGGCGGGCCGCCACGUCGGCUGCUGAAAUCCCCCGGCUCAACCGGGGAACGGGCACCGAUACGAGCGGCCUGGAGGGGGGUAGGGGGGCCUGGAACUUCCGGUGGAGCGGUGAAAUGCGUUGAGAUCGGAAGGAACGCCCGUGGCGAAAGCGAGGCCCUGGACCCUUACUGACGCUGAGACGCGAAAGCCAGGGGAGCGAACGGG